rnacentral:rRNA from 1 species
AUUGAACGCUGGCGGCAGGCCUAACACAUGCAAGUCGGACGGUAGCACAGAGGAGCUUGCUCCUCGGGAGACGAGUGGCGGACGGGUGAGUAAUGUCUGGGGAUCUGCCCGAUAGAGGGGGAUAACCACUGGAAACGGUGGCUAAUACCGCAUAACGUCGCAAGACCAAAGAGGGGGACCUUCGGGCCUCCCACUAUCGGAUGAACCCAGAUGGGAUUAGCUAGUAGGCGGGGUAACGGCCCACCUAGGCGACGAUCCCUAGCUGGUCUGAGAGGAUGACCAGCCACACUGGAACUGAGACACGGUCCAGACUCCUACGGGAGGCAGCAGUGGGGAAUAUUGCACAAUGGGCGCAAGCCUGAUGCAGCCAUGCCGCGUGUAUGAAGAAGGCCUUCGGGUUGUAAAGUACUUUCAGCGGGGAGGAAGGCGAUGUGGUUAAUAACCGCGUCGAUUGACGUUACCCGCAGAAGAAGCACCGGCUAACUCCGUGCCAGCCGCCGCCGUAA